CCAGCCAUGCCGCGUGAGUGAUGAAGGCCCUAGGGUCGUAAAGCUCUUUCGCCUGUAAUGAUAAUGGCAGUAGCAGGUAAAGAAACCCCGGCUAACUCCGUGCCAGCAGCCGCGGUAAUACGGAGGGGGUUAGCGUUGUUCGGAAUUACUGGGCGUAAAGCGCGCGUAGGCGGACUAUUAAGUCAGAGGUGAAAUCCCGGGGCUCAACCCCGGAACUGCCUUUGAUACUAGUAGUCUAGAGUUCGAGAGAGGUGAGUGGAAUUCCGAGUGUAGAGGUGAAAUUCGUAGAUAUUCGGAGGAACACCAGUGGCGAAGGCGGCUCACUGGCUCGAUACUGACGCUGAGGUGCGAAAGUGUGGGGAGCAAACAGGAUUAGAUACCCUGGUAGUCCACACCGUAAACGAUGAAUGCCAGUCGUCGGAUAGCAUGCUAUUCGGUGACACACCUAACGGAUUAAGCAUUCCGCCUGGGGAGUACGGUCGCAAGAUUAAAACUCAAAUGAAUUGACGGGG
rnacentral:rRNA from 1 species